rnacentral:rRNA from 1 species
AUUAAACGCUGGCGGCAUGCCUUACACAUGCAAGUCGAACGGCAGCACGGGGGCAACCCUGGUGGCGAGUGGCGAACGGGUGAGUAAAGCAUCGGAACGUGCCCUGGAGUGGGGGAUAACGUAGCGAAAGUUACGCUAAUACCGCAUAUUCUGUGAGCAGGAAAGCAGGGGAUCGCAAGACCUUGCGCUCUGGGAGCGGCCGAUGUCGGAUUAGCUAGUUGGUGGGGUAAAGGCCUACCAAGGCGACGAUCCGUAGCGGGUCUGAGAGGAUGAUCCGCCACACUGGGACUGAGACACGGCCCAGACUCCUACGGGAGGCAGCAGUGGGGAAUUUUGGACAAUGGGCGCAAGCCUGAUCCAGCCAUGCCGCGUGAGUGAAGAAGGCCUUCGGGUUGGUAAAGUACGUCUUUCGGUCGGGGAAGGAAAGUUAGCAUGGUUAAGU